rnacentral:lncRNA from 1 species
UUUGAACAAGUUAAAAGUCUGUGCAUGUGUUUUGUCUGUGCAUUCAUUUCCCUGGUGGGUUUUCUAUGAAACUGCACUGCAUUCUGUUCCUCAAACGCUCCGGACACAGACAUUCUGGAUAACAACAGACAUCUGCUGGACCUAAUGCUCAUCCAAAACAGAGCGGGAAACACCAGACAGGACCUGACUUAUGGCAGCAAAGCACCAAAGCUCAAGGCAUCAGAACACAAGCACCAACAGCUGAUGUUUU